UACAGAGGGUGCAAGCGUUAAUCGGAAUUACUGGGCGUAAAGCGUGCGUAGACGGUUAUGUAAGUCGGGUGUGAAAGCCCCGGGCUCAACCUGGGAAUGCCAUUCGAGACUGCAUAGCUAGGGUGCGGAAGAGGGAAGCGGAAUUUCCGGUGUAGCGGUGAAAUGCGUAGAUAUCUGGAGGAACACCGGUGGCGAAGGCGACAUCCUGGACCGGUAUUGACGCUGAGGCGCGAAAGCCAGGGGAGCAAACGGG
rnacentral:rRNA from 1 species